rnacentral:lncRNA from 1 species
UCUCCUCAUCUAGAGUUUUUUAUUCCAUUCAAGCUACUCUGGUAAGUGGUGUAUAUGUUGAUCCGUUUUGUAAUACCCAUGAAGCAAAUUGGUUGCCACACCUCCGUUACACCAUUUGACUCUCAUCAGGUUGUUGCUCAUCCAUUGUUUUUUUAAUCAGGUAGCUGGAUGCUCGCAUCCAAGAUCUGCAUGACUGCAGGUGAUUACGAAAUAGUUUCCCAACUUCUCUGUUUUAGCUACCUAAGAAAGGGUAUCUAUCCAAGGCAUGCAUCAUUAGUCCAACAUAAAAUUUCCACACCCAAGGUCAUCUGUGAUCGGAGGAACACUUUAUGUACAGACACAUGAAAGUGAAACUGAAGAGCUAUGUAACUACUCUAUGUAAUAUGGGCUUUUAUUUUUGACAAGGUAUGUUAAUUAUAUGAGAUGACCACUAAGUUGAUUUUUUUCAGAGGUAUGGAUCUGUUAUUUUAGUUUAUAUCCCAUGAUGUCUCUUUCCUUUGUAAAGCAUGAAAUUGCAUCGGUCCUAACCAUGUAUUGUCAUAUCGCGCAACCCAGGAAUUGAUGAUAUUAAAAGAGAAGUAUGAUGAUCAGUUGUAUGAAAAUAUUCGAUACAUCUAGGACUAUGGUCAUGAGAGGAUUGUUCCUACAGGACCAAUGAAUGUUAAAUAUAUCACUGACCAUGUAUUGUCAUAUUUGCACAUCCUAGGAACUGAUGAGAUUAAAAGAGAAGUAUGGUUCCAGUUGUAUGGAAAGAUUUGAUACAUCCAAGACUACAGUAAUAACAAAAUUGUCUCUAGAGGACCAGUGAAUAUUUUAUAUAAAUUCCGACAAUGGACUUCACAUACUUUAUAUUGUGUAUCAUUUGAUCUUGGUUUUGUUGUUUUCUUGAGGAAUGUAGGUAUAUUGUUGUUUUCUUGAGGAAUACAUGUUAUCUAUGGUAUGUACUCAGUUUAAGUUUCAACCCUUCUCAUAUUUAUU